rnacentral:rRNA from 1 species
UACGGAGGGGGCUAGCGUUGUUCGGAAUUACUGGGCGUAAAGCGCGCGUAGGCGGCUUUGUAAGUUAGAGGUGAAAGCCCGGAGCUCAACUCCGGAAUUGCCUUUAAGACUGCAUCGCUAGAAUCAUGGAGAGGUUAGUGGAAUUCCGAGUGUAGAGGUGAAAUUCGUAGAUAUCAGGAGGAACAUCGGUGGCGAAGGCGGCUUCCUGGACACUUACUGACGCUGAGACGCGAAAGCGUGGGGAGCAAACAGG